UACAGAGGGUGCAAGCGUUAAUCGGAAUUACUGGGCGUAAAGCGCGCGUAGGUGGUUUGUUAAGUUGGAUGUGAAAUCCCCGGGCUCAACCUGGGAACUGCAUUCAAAACUGACAAGCUAGAGUAUGGUAGAGGGUGGUGGAAUUUCCUGUGUAGCGGUGAAAUGCGUAGAUAUAGGAAGGAACACCAGUGGCGAAGGCGACCACCUGGACUGAAUACUGACACUGAGGUGCGAAAGCGUGGGGAGCGAA
rnacentral:rRNA from 1 species